rnacentral:rRNA from 1 species
AUGAUGGUGACCUAAACCCUCACCAGAGUAACAAUUGGAGGGCAAGUCUGGUGCCAGCAGCCGCGGUAAUUCCAGCUCCAAUAGCGUAUAUUAAACUUGUUGCAGUUAAAAAGCUCGUAGUUGAAUUUCUGCGUCACCGUAUUUUGACUUUUGUCGACUGUCGGUUUCGCUUUUGGGAUUUAUCCCUUUUUACUUUGAGAAAAUUAGAGUGUUUCAAGCAGACUUUUGUCUUGAAUACUUCAGCAUGGAAUAAUAGAGUAGGACUUUGGUUCUAUUUUGUUGGUUUGUGAACCUUAGUAAUGGUUAAUAGGAACGGUUGGGGGCAUUCGUAUUUAACUGUCAGAGGUGAAAUUCUUAGAUUUGUUAAAGACGAACUACUGCGAAAGCAUUUGCCAAGGACGUUUUCAUUAAUCAAGAACGAAAGUUAGGGGAUCGAAGACGAUCAGAUACCGUCGUAGUCCACCAAUAAAACUAA